CCUACGGGAGGCAGCAGUGAGGAAUAUUGGUCAAUGGCCGGAAGGCUGAACCAGCCAUGCCGCGUGAAGGUCAGUGCCCUAUGGGCGUUAAACUUCUUUUGUGCGGGAGCAAUAAUGGUCACGUGUGGCCAGACGAGAGUACCGUACGAAUAAGCAUCGGCUAACUCCGUGCCAGCAGCCGCGGUAAUACGGGGGAUGCAAGCGUUAUCCGGAUUUAGUGGGUUUAAAGGGUGCGUAGGCUGGGAGGUAAGUCAGGGGUGAAAUGCCCCCGCUCAACGGGGUGAAGUGCCAUUGAUACUGCCUUGCUGGAAUGCGGAUGCCGUGGGAGGAAUGUGUGGUGUAGCGGUGAAAUGCAUAGAUAUCACACAGAACACCGAUUGCGAAGGCAUCUCCCGAAUCCGCGAUUGACGCUGAUGCACGAAAGCGUGGGUAUCAAACAGGAUUAGAUACCCGGGUAGUC
rnacentral:rRNA from 1 species